rnacentral:rRNA from 1 species
AACGUACGCUGGCGGCACGCCUAACACAUGCAAGUCGAACGAAGUAGCAAUACUUAGUGGCAGACGGGUGAGUAACAUGUAGGUAUCUGCCCUUUGGCCUGGAAUAACACGAGGAAACUUGUGCUAAUACCGGAUAAGUCUUUACGGAGAAAGCUUUAUGCACCAUUGGAUGAGCCUGCACUUGAUUAGUUUGUUGGUGGGGUAAUGGCCUACCAAGACUGUGAUCAAUAGCUGAUUUGAGAGGAUGAUCAGCCACAUUGGGACUGAGACACGGCCCAAACUCCUACGGGAGGCAGCAGUGGGGAAUCUUGCACAAUGGAGGAAACUCUGAUGCAGCGAUGCCGCGUGAGUGAAGAAGGCCCUUGGGUUGUAAAGCUCUUUCGUCGGGGAAGAAAAUGACUGUACCCGAAUAAGAAGGUCCGGCUAACUUCGUGCCAGCAGCCGCGGUAAUACGAAGGGACCUAGCGUAGUUCGGAAUUACUGGGCUUAAAGAGUUCGUAGGUGGUUGAAAAAGUUAGUGGUGAAAUCCCAGAGCUUAACUCUGGAACUGCCAUUAAAACUUUUCAGCUAGAGUAUGAUAGAGGAAAGCAGAAUUUCUAGUGUAGAGGUGAAAUUCGUAGAUAUUAGAAAGAAUACCAAUUGCGAAGGCAGCUUUCUGGAUCAUUACUGACACUGAGGAACGAAAGCAUGGGUAGCGAAGAGGAUUAGAUACCCUCGUAGUCCAUGCCGUAAACGAUGUGUGUUAGACGUUGGAAAUUUAUUUUCAGUGUCGCAGGGAAACCGAUAAGCACACCGCCUGGGGAGUACAACCGCAAGGUUAAAACUCAAAUGAAUUGACGGGGACCCGCACAAGUAGUGGAGCAUGUGGUUUAAUUCGAAGAUACGCGCAGAACCUUACCAACACUUGACAUGUUCGUCGCGACUCUAAGAGAUUAGAGUUUUCGGUUCGGCCGGACGAAACACAGGUGCUGCAUGGCUGUCGUCAGCUCGUGUCGUGAGAUGUUGGGUUAAGUCCCGCAACGAGCGCAACCCUCACUUUUAGUUGCCAUCAUUAAGUUGGGCACUCUGAAAGAACUGCCAGUGAUAAGCUGGAGGAAGGUGGGGAUGACGUCAAGUCCUCAUGGCCCUUACGUGUUGGGCUACACACGUGCUACAAUGGUAUCUACAACAGGAAGCAAGACUGCGAAGUUAAGCAAAUCCCUAAAAGAUACCUCAGUUCGGAUUGCACUCUGCAACUCGAGUGCAUGAAGCUGGAAUUACUAGUAAUCGUGGAUCAGCGUGCCACGGUGAAUGCGUUCCCGGGUCU